rnacentral:rRNA from 1 species
GAACGGGGUGGGAAACCCGGCCAUAGAGCAUGAGAGCUGCGUACGGGUAAUGAAUAGGAGGAUAGUGGGAUCCUGAGUACCGCGAGGUCGGAGACGCCUUGUGGGAAUUUGCCGGCACCAUCCGGUAAGGCUAAAUACUCCUGAGAGACCGAUAGUGAACCAGUACCGUGAGGGAAAGGUGAAAAGAACCCCGAACAGGGGAGUGAAAUAGAACCUGAAACCGUGUACUUACAAGCGGUCGGAGCUGCAGCAAUGUGGUGACGGCGUGCCUUUUGCAUAAUGAGCCUACGAGUUACUCUUCAUUGGCAAGGUUAAGUGUUUAAGACACGCAGCCGAAGCGAAAGCGAGUCUGAAAAGGGCGCAUAGUCAGUGGAGGUAGACGCGAAACCUUGUGAUCUACCCAUGGACAGGUUGAAGGUGCCGUAACAGGUACUGGAGGACCGAACCGAUAAACGUUGAAAAGUUUCCGGAUGAUCUGUGGGUAGGGGUGAAAGGCUAAUCAAACUGGGAAAUAGCUCGUACUCCCCGAAAUGUUUUUAGGAACAGCCUGGCGGUUGAGUUAAUAAGAGGUAGAGCUACUAAUUGGGUGCGGGGGAGUCAAAUCCUACCAAAUCCAGAUAAACUCCGAAUGCUUAUUAAUAUACGCUGGAGUGAGGCUCUGGGUGCUAAGGUCCAGGGCCGAGAGGGAAAGAACCCAGACCAUCAGCUAAGGUCCCCAAAUUACCACUAAGUUGAACUAACGAGGUCCGAUUGCACAGACAGCUAGGAUGUUGGCUUGGAAGCAGCCAUUCAUUUAAAGAGUGCGUAACAGCUCACUAGUCGAGCGAUCGGGCAUGGAUAAUAAACGGGCAUUAAGCGUUAUACCGAAGCUAUGGAUUAUACAGCAAUGUAUACUGGUAGGGGAGCAUUCUAAUUGCCGGCGAAGCAGAUACGUAAGUUACUGUGGAGGAUAUAGAAAAGCAAAUGUAGGCAUAAGUAACGAUAAGGCGGGAGAGAAACCCGCCCACCGAAAGACUAAGGUUUCCUGAUCAACGCUAAUCGGAUCAGGGUUAGUCGGGGCCUAAGGUGAAGCCGAAGGGCGUAGCCGAUGGACAACUGGUUAAUAUUCCAGUACUUUUUAUAACUGCGAUGCGGUGACGGAGUAGUGACACUGACGCGAACUGACGGAAUAGUUCGUUAAAGGCCGUAGGUAUAGGGAACGUAGGAAAAUCCGCGAUCCUUGCUGAAAGCUGAUAGUACCUUGAGCCUUCGGGUAAGAGGAUAGUUCAGGUAAUCAGACUUCCAAGAAAACCCGCUAAGCUUCAGGUUAUAAAAACCCGUACCGUAAACCGACACAGGUAGUCGAGGAGAGAAUCCUAAGGUGCUCGAGUGAAUCAUGGCUAAGGAACUCGGCAAAAUGGCCCUGUAACUUCGGGAGAAGGGGCGCUGGUAGCAAUAUCAGCCGCAGUGAAAAGGCCCAGGCGACUGUUUAACAAAAACACAUGGCUAUGCAAAAUCGAAAGAUGACGUAUAUGGCCUGACACCUGCCCGGUGCUGGAAGGUUAAGAGGGGAUGUUAGUCGCAAGGCGAAGCAUUGAAUCGAAGCCCCAGUAAACGGCGGCCGUAACUAUAACGGUCCUAAGGUAGCGAAAUUCCUUGUCGGGUAAGUUCCGACCUGCACGAAUGGUGUAACGAUCUGGGCGCUGUCUCAGCC